rnacentral:SRP_RNA from 1 species
GCUGGGCGUGGUGGCGCAUGCCUGUAAUCCCAGCUACUCAGGAGGCUGAGGCAGGAGAAUUGCUUGAACCCGGGAGGUGGAGGUUGCAGUGAGCCGAGAUUGCGCCACUGCACUCCAGCCUGGGCUACAGAGUGAGACUCCGUUUCAA